rnacentral:misc_RNA from 1 species
GAUGAAGAACGCAGCGAAAUGCGAUACGUAAUGUGAAUUGCAGAUUUCAGUGAAUCAUCGAAUCUUUGAACGCACAUUGCGCCCGCUAGUAUUCUGGCGGGCAUGCCUGUCCGAGCGUCAUUACAACCCUCAAGCUCAGCUUGGUGUUGGGCCCCGCCGCCCCGGCGGGCCCUAAAGUCAGUGGCGGUGCCGUCCGGCUCCGAGCGUAGUAAUUCUUCUCGCUCUGGAGGUCCGGUCGUGUGCUUGCCAGCAACCCCCAAUUUUUUUCAGGUUGACCUCGGAUCAGGUAGGGAUACCCGCUGAACUUAAGCAUAUCAAUAAGCGGAGGA